UCUCUUCUCAACACCGAAUAAUAUAACCAGAACCAAAAGAGAGAAUCUGAAGUGAGAAAGAAAAAAAGAAAGAGAGAGAGAGAGACCACAAACAAGAAGAAGAGGAAGAGGAGGGAGCUUCUCUGCAAACUCACCCUCUUCUUAUCCAAUUCGUAAGGUUUUCUCUUUCUGGGUUUCUCUCUCUUGUUUGUUUUUGUUUACUUUUGUUUUUGGAAAUUUGUUUUGUUCGGGUUUGGUUUUGCUCUUUCUGGGCUGCUAUAGUAGUUUUCCAAUUUCGGUUAGUGAAAAUGGUGUAGAAGGUUUUUUAUGAGACGGGCAUUCUAAGAUGGGAUCUCUUUCUUUGUUUCGCUUUGUUUGAGUUGUCGAAGCAGAGAAUUUUAACAUGUUGGAGGGUCCAUCAUAUCUUGUUUCAAGAGAAUUGCCCAGCUCGUGCGAGCAGGAAAGCAAGUGGAUUUACAAUACUUUCCGGUUGAUUGAACUCUCAAGUAAUAAGCGCAAACUAGAAGAUGGAGAAGAUAACACAUUGAGGAAGUUAAGUAAGGUAUCAGUAGCUCUUAAAGAAGAGGAAGCAUGUAAAGAUGGUAGUGAUUUUGACCAUGCCCUAAAGGACCAAUUUGAUGGCCAGUAUCAAGCUGGGGAUCCUUCGGAUGUUCAUAAUUUUUUGGAUGCCCAAACUGACCUAUCAAAUGGACAGAAUCAAGCUGGGGAAUACUCUGAUAUUAAAGCUUUUCCUAAUCCCCCAACUGACCAAUCAAGUGACAAGCAUCUAGUAGGGGAUCAUUCUGGUAUUAUUGGCGUGUCUGACGGACAAAAUGACCAACCAGGUGACCAGCAUCAGGCACAAGAUCACUCUGACGUUCAUGAUAUUUCCCACGCUCUGAUUGACCAAUCAAAUGACCAGCUAGCUAGGGAUGACGCCGAUAUUUUUGAUUUUACAGAUGCCCAAAUUGACCAAUCAAAUGAUCAUCACCAGGGAGGAGAACACUCUGAUCUUAGCUCACUUAUUCAUCAACUUGGUAGGGACAUUUCAAUCAACUGUCUUCUACGAUGUCCCAGGUCUGAGUAUGGCUCAAUUGCUUCUUUGAAUAGGAGUUUCCGUUCUAUCAUUCGUGGUGGAGAGCUCUACAAGCUGAGGAAGCAAAUGGGUAUAGUGGAACAUUGGGUUUACUUCUCCUGUGCCCUCCUUGAAUGGGAAGCUUACGAUCCAAAUCACAACCGCUGGAUGCAUUUGCCUAGGAUGACUUCAAAUGAAUGCUUCAUGUGUUCAGAUAAGGAAUCGUUGGCUGUUGGUACAGAACUACUUGUUUUUGGGAAGGAAAUAACUUCCCAUGUUAUUUAUAGAUAUAGUAUUUUGACAAAUACAUGGUCAUCAGGCAUGAAAAUGAAUACGCCUAGGUGCUUAUUUGGUUCUGCUAGUCUAGGGGAAAUUGCCAUUUUGGCUGGUGGUUGUGAUCCACGUGGCAAUAUAUUGAGCUCUGCGGAGCUUUAUAAUUCAGAAACAGGAACUUGGAGGACUCUUCCAUGCAUGAAUAAACCAAGAAAAAUGUGCUCUGGGGUGUUUAUGGACAGGAAGUUUUAUGUUAUUGGUGGAAUAGGAACUGGGAAUCCAAGGUCUCUUACAUGUGGGGAAGUAUUUGAUCUUGAAACUGAGACUUGGACUGAAAUACCUGACAUGUUCCCUUCACGGAAUGGAGAGGAUGGGAUUAUUGGGGCCCCUGCUGCAGCAGAGGCACCUCCUCUUGUCGCAGUUGUAAAGAAUACAUUGUAUGCUGCUGAUUACGCUGAAAAGGAGGUAAGAAGAUAUGACAAGAAGAGGAACGAGUGGAUAACUAUUGGGAGAUUGCCUGAGCGAGCAGUCUCAAUGCAUGGAUGGGGUUUGGCAUUUAGAGCUUGUGGAGAUCGAUUGAUCGUUAUUGGGGGACCAAGGGUCCAAGCCGGAGGGAUAAUUGAGCUUAAUGCUUGGGUUCCCAAUGAAGACCCACCUCAAUGGAACCUGCUUGCCAGUAAGCAAUCUGGAAGCUUUGUGUAUAACUGCACAGUGAUGGGAUGUUGAGGUGUCCAAUUUUGUGAUGUUAUCCGUGUGCUAUGUGGAGUCCUGUCUGAGUGGAAUUGACAAUCUUCGCUUUUCAAGGAGAUGGGGUUCCAGCUCAUGGAUAUUUUACUGUAUUCAAAAUUAUGGCCGCCAAUUUUGUGAAACUGGACACUACCAUAGUCCUAGUCUCAGUAACUGUAUUUCCAGAAGUGGAGAGUUGGAAGUUAUGCCUUGGUCCGUAUACUGUACAGAAAACAAGGCCCUCGCAUGAUUCAUAAAGCCUCCUAUUAUUUUUAGCUGACUAGUUAAUUUGUUUUGAUUUGUGUACUGUUUUAAGAAGUUCGCAACUAGCUUUAUUAUUGUUGGAGAUGUUUAUGUUUGUUAACGAUAUCUCUUUUCGAUAAUAGUAUUUCAGUACUGUUACCCUGCUAAGCAUGUUUGUCUGUAACUGCAUGGGUAUUUAAUUUCAAACCAUUCUUCCUUUGCUUUGGCUUAGACUGAUGAAAUUUUAAGAAAACAUUUUCUUUUUCUUA